CAGUCGCCGCGGUAAUACGAAGGGGGCUAGCGUUGCUCGGAAUUACUGGGCGUAAAGGGCGCGUAGGCGGCGCUCCAAGUUAGGCGUGAAAUUCCCGGGCUCAACCUGGGGACUGCGCUUAAGACUGGAGUGCUUGAGGAUGGAAGAGGGUUGUGGAAUUCCCAGUGUAGAGGUGAAAUUCGUAGAUAUUGGGAAGAACACCGGUGGCGAAGGCGGCAACCUGGUCCAUUACUGACGCUGAGGCGCGAUAGCGUGGGGAGCAAACAGGAUUAGAUACCCGAGUAGUCCCUGUCUCUUAUAU
rnacentral:rRNA from 1 species